UGGAGAGUUUGAUCCUGGCUCAGGACGAACGCUGGCGGCGUGCUUAACACAUGCAAGUCGAACGAUGAAGCCUGCAACUUGUUGUGGGUGGAUUAGUGGCGAACGGGUGAGUAAUACGUGGGUAACCUGCCCUCCUUUUUGGGAUAAGCCUUGGAAACGGGGUCUAAUACCGAAUAUUCUGGCGCUCUCGCAUGGGGGUGUUGGGAAAGCUUUUGUGUGAAGGGGGAUGGGCUCGCGGCCUAUCAGCUUGUUGGUGGGGUGAUGGCCUACCAAGGCGGUGACGGGUAGCCGGCCUGAGAGGGUGACCGGCCACAUUGGGACUGAGAUACGGCCCAGACUCCUACGGGAGGCAGCAGUGGGGGAUAUUGCACAAUGGGCGAAAGCCUGAUGCAGCGACGCCGCGUGGGGGAUGAAGGCUUUCGGGUUGUAAACCUCUUUCGCUAUCGAACAAGGCCCGCUUAGGGUGGGUUGAGGGUAGGUGGAGAAGAAGCGCCGGCUAACUACGUGCCAGCAGCCGCGGUA
rnacentral:rRNA from 1 species